CCACUAAAAACAAAUUCUAAUUCCACUCACAAUCCACUCCCAACGGCCUGCUCAUUCACAACACCUCACACUCCCUUUUUACCUCACAAAACCCUCUCUCCAUUCUGUACAAAAAGGCUGGCACACGUCUCACAUCACUACCCUUCACUCACCCAGAACAAAUCCACCUCCGCCUCCUCUCACGAAACCCUCGCCGCAACCCACAAAUCGCUCACUCCGCCGCCACUGAAAACCCCGUCACACUCUCAACAAACCCUUCCGUCAAAACCCUUCAUCGCUCACACUUCCUACACACAAAAUCGCUCAACCACCUCCAACCACCACCAAACCCUAAACAACCACCUUCGCGCUCACCGCAUCAUCAUCGUCCGUUCAUCUUCCUGGAAGACGCCUCUUUGUCUUUGUCUUUGUCGACAAUGAAUUCAGAGCUUCAAUCCAAGUUUUGCUUCUGAGCUUCGUUUCUCAACCUCACCACCAUCCAUUCGUCAAUAACCACUCCCACUGACUAAUCCCCCACAAGCUCCGACUCUCAACAACCACAUCUCCGAUCUCCGCUACGGUAACCCAUUCCGACACUAAAUCGCCAACGCCGUAUCACUCGCAGCCUCUCACAGUUUGUCUUCAUCAAUUUCCCGUGUCCGCGCAGAAUCUAAUAGAUCUAGAUUGGACAGCUUGGUGUUGUUGUUAUGUCUUUAUUGUUUCAGGAAAAAAGGGGAUGUCCGAUUACGGUAGCUGAUAUAUCGUGUUGGUGCCUUGAUCAAAAUCCGAGCAAGUCUGCCUAGACGCAAAAAUCGCAACAGCAACGAAUCACAUUUGAACCACAACAUAUCACAAGCUCGGGACGAUGGUAUGCUGUGGUAUUAGGUUGUUAUGUCAAUUUCGAUGGCAUUGUUCUUGUUUUGUUUAUAUGUGAGUUGAGAUAUUUAAAGUCUGGUGAAUUUAGCUAACAUGGAAAUGAAUUUCAAUUGGAAUGGAGUGACUUAUUGUGUUUCA